rnacentral:rRNA from 1 species
UAGAGUUUGAUCCUGGCUCAGAUUGAACGCUGGCGGCAUGCCUAACACAUGCAAGUCGAACGGCAGCACAGGUAGCAAUACCGGGUGGCGAGUGGCGGACGGGUGAGGAAUACAUCGGGACCUGCCCAGACGUGGGGGAUAACGUAGGGAAACUUACGCUAAUACCGCAUACGUCCUACGGGAGAAAGCGGGGGAUCUUCGGACCUCGCGCGGUUGGAUGGACCGAUGUUCGAUUAGCUAGUUGGUGAGGUAAUGGCUCACCAAGGCGACGAUCGAUAGCUGGUCUGAGAGGAUGAUCAGCCACACUGGGACUGAGACACGGCCCAGACUCCUACGGGAGGCAGCAGUGGGGAAUAUUGGACAAUGGGCGCAAGCCUGAUCCAGCAAUGCCGCGUGUGUGAAGAAGGCCUUCGGGUUGUAAAGCACUUUUAUCAGGAGCGAAAUACUACGGGUUAAUACCUCGUGGGGCUGACGGUACCUGAGGAAUAAGCACCGGCUAACUUCGUGCCAGCAGCCGCGGUAAUACGAAGGGUGCAAGCGUUAAUCGGAAUUACUGGGCGUAAAGCGUGCGUAGGCGGUUUUUUAAGUCUGCUGUGAAAUCCCCGGGCUCAACCUGGGAAUGGCAGUGGAUACUGGAAAGCUAGAGUGUGAGAGAGGAUGGUGGAAUUCCCGGUGUAGCGGUGAAAUGCGUAGAGAUCGGGAGGAACAUCAGUGGCGAAGGCGGCCAUCUGGCUCAACACUGACGCUGAGGCACGAAAGCGUGGGGAGCAAAC